ACUCCUGCGGGAGGCAGCAGUGGGGAAUUUUGGACAAUGGGCGAAAGCCUGAUCCAGCAAUGCCGCGUGUGUGAAGAAGGCCUUCGGGUUGUAAAGCACUUUUGUCCGGAAAGAAAUCCUUGGCUCUAAUACAGUCGGGGGAUGACGGUACCGGAAGAAUAAGCACCGGCUAACUACGUGCCAGCAGCCGCGGUAAUACGUAGGGUGCGAGCGUUAAUCGGAAUUACUGGGCGUAAAGCGUGCGCAGGCGGUUUGCUAAGACCGAUGUGAAAUCCCCGGGCUCAACCUGGGAACUGCAUUGGUGACUGGCAGGCUAGAGUAUGGCAGAGGGGGGUAGAAUUCCACGUGUAGCAGUGAAAUGCGUAGAGAUGUGGAGGAAUACCGAUGGCGAAGGCAGCCCCCUGGGCCAAUACUGACGCUCAUGCACGAAAGCGUGGGGAGCAAACAGGAUUAGAAACCCGAGUAGUCCCAUGAU
rnacentral:rRNA from 1 species